UACGUAGGGGGCAAGCGUUGUCCGGAAUCAUUGGGCGUAAAGAGCGUGUAGGCGGCCCGAUAAGUCCGCUGUGAAAGUCCAGGGCUCAACCCUGGAAUGCCGGUGGAUACUGUCGGGCUCGAAUCCGGAAGAGGUGAGUGGAAUUCCUGGUGUAGCGGUGAAAUGCGCAGAUAUCAGGAAGAACACCCGUGGCUAAGGCGGUUCUCUAGUACGGUACCGACGCUGAGACGCGAAAGCGUGGGGAGCGAACAGG
rnacentral:rRNA from 1 species